GUUUGUAAAUAGAGUUUACUUUAUGUGAUGAUGCCAGUAAUUCCUCUAGAUGUUUUAUGUAAAUUGAUUUAAUCUUUACAAAAACCCUCUAGAAUCAAACUAAACAUGGAUAGGUUAGGCAGCUACCAGGGUCAGAGCCAGAAUUUGAACCCAGUCAGUGGAGCUAUGCUUGAAUUCAUUGUGCUUAUUUUUAAAGCAAAUGGGGAAAAUAAAAGCGAUUGAAAGUGUUUUCAUCCAUCAUCGUAAACAUGCAUGGCGCUCCUCUACGGCCCUUCCCGUUUUCUGUCGGGGAUGAAGGAGUCCUUGUUAGUCGGGGAAAAGCAUGGCAGAGAAUGCACCCAAAGGAAAAGCACACAGCACACCUAUGCAGAGCGGGCGGGGCUGCAGUCAGCUACUGCGCUGAGAAAGUCAGGUUGGAAUGCCUGCCACUCCCCUUGGAAGGAUCUCUGCCUCUUAGGUAUGAGUGAUUUGGUGGGUCAUGAGUGGUAAGGGCUCCUGGCAGGCCCUGAGAUGUAGACCUUCAUCAGUGCAGAUACUCUGGAAUUCUCAUCACUUUUGAAUCAGGCAAGUAACAGGCUAGGCAGAUCAAGAAGUAGAACAAGAAAACAGUGAGGCUUGGGGAACUUCACCCCUCUUAGGCCUUCAUAGUAAAGUGGGGAUAAAAUUUCUUCCUAGUCGUUGUGAGCAUUAGAGGAGGCACACAAGUGCCUGGAAUGUGGUAGGUCCUCAGUGUGAUGGUUGGCCCUGAAAAUACCUCUAGGAAACUCCAGUGAGUGUUGUUCCAGCAACCCCUUUGUAUCCCUGUAGAAUCUACCCUAUCCAUUUGUGGGAUUUCACGGUUAGUAGUCUAAAGAUCGGAAAAGGAAAUGGCAACCCACUCCAGUGUUACUGCGUGGAGAAUACUAGGGAUGGGAGAGCCUGGUGGGCUACCGUCUAUGGGGUCACACACAGUCGGACAUGACUGCAGCGACUUAGCAGCAGCAGCAGUCUAAAGAUCGUCUCAUAUCUGAAGAAAAUAGAGGUUGGAGGGAUGGAUAUCCUGUAGCCACUUGUCUGGUCCUGUUCCCAUGGGAUCCCACAGCAGAGCCUUGGGUUCUGAAGGCAAGGACACUACUUGGUACUUGGUGCUGUGUGCCUUCCCCUGUGAAGGCCUGCAGAUAAGCACCAGGAUGCGGAGUGCUGUCUCGAUGCUCUUUCUGACUUGCUGGGGGAGGCACAGAUGGUGAGUUCUGACUAGGAGGAGACAGAGAUGACAGGCCUGUGGCAGGGUUGUUGGGAGCAGGAGGAAGAAGCCAAAACUCCCACUGUGGGUGGACAUUGCUUCCUGCUGGUACACAGAGCCAGACUCCGGUUGAGGCAUAGCCCAGAAGUCUCUCCCUGGGCUCUGACUGAGGGACUCGCAGCUUGAUGGGAGAGGAGACACUGCUGAGGCAGCAGGGGGUUUAGAGGCCAGGAAUGGGGCAGGGGUGGCCACCAGAUAACUGGGAACCAGGAUGGCUGUGUGGGAGGGUUGAGAAGUCACGAGGUCCUUUCCCCAACCUUGGCCAGCAUUUCAGACA
ensembl:lncRNA